GACCUCGUGAAGAGGCCGGUAGGACCUGUAAAUAAACUCUGAUAUAAAAAAAAAAGGGGCAUUGUGUUUCUGUCAAACACAUCUCUUGUUUGUUACUGAAAUACUGUUAAUAUGACUUAUUGAUAUCAUGAACGAAGUUUACAGUUCUGUUAUGGGACAUAAAUUAUUCAAGUUGACAAAAAGUGCUUCAGUAAAUGUUCAAGUGACUAGUAUUUACCAGUUAUGUUGAUAUGCAAUUUUGUGUAUAUAUAAGUAAUAAUUUAUUGUAAUUAGUAUAUGUCUGUACAAUUUGUUUUGAAUAAUAGAUUGCUUUCUUAAUUAAGAAAUAAUGUUUGAGAAAAUUAUAAUUCUCUCAAAAGCAUCAGGAAACUCGAGUGGCAUUAUAAUUCUUAAAUGUACAAAAAGUAGAUUGCCUCUAUGUAUAAAAUGUUUUGUGUUUUUUCUUAAAUGUUUCUUUAUUAAGUGUUGUUUGUUAAAAGUAAGUGUAACAUUUUACUCAGCACCGAUAAAAUAAGUGAAUUUGUUAACUGUGCAAACAACUGUUUAUGUAUAAUCUUAAUGUCAUUUUUUUUCGAUAAAAUAUGUUUUGUUAUUUCCUUGUGGCGUUUCUGCCUGUGGUUUAUUUGCUUAGCUUGCAGUAAAUGUCGGUAUAUUAGAGAACAUUGAAUGUCUUUAUAUAUAUUUUUCAUAUGAGAACACAAGUUUUCAUCUACUUGUUCAUAAAACUUUCAUAACAUUUUCGAAAUCCACUGAGAUAAUGAAUUCAAAAACAAUUAUAGAAGAAAAAAAUGCUCAUGACAUACCAGUUUAACCAAUGUUUCAAGGAAUCCUGGUAGAUGAAACAUUUAUACCCUUUGGUCUAUCAUUGUCUAAAAUAUUUAAUUUGUCAAUAUGAUUGCAUAUAUAUUAUAUUAGCUGCAUUAACAGUAUGUGAAAAUGCAUCUUAUUACCAUAUGCGGCCAGUGUAGCAUCACUCCUUGCAUGACUUUAUAGGGAACAAGGUAGCUCCCCCCACCAAACUGCUCUACUGUGCAGGCAGAUUGGAAGAUACACUGGCUGUAUGUGACAUAAGAUCCAUUUUUGGGUGACACAGCUCAUACUAAAGCCCCUUUAAAUGUAAGGAUGUCUGUUUUCUGUCUUUUUAAUACAUGUUAGUCAGAAUGUUUGUUAAAGGGUGGAAGUUGCUUUGAUUUUGUGUGUUGUAAAUAUAUGUUAAUGUUGAGUGAUUUUUCUCUCAUGUUAUUUUUUCAGACACAAAGGUUAUCUUUAAAACUUGUAAACUAUGUAACAAAAAAUUGUCGCCUUAAGUUGGUGCUUUAUUUUUUAACGUGUGUUAUUGUAUGUAUUUUUCAUAAUAUGUUAUUUUCAUAGAGUUUUACAAAUACGAUGACCUUAAAAUUAUUUUAAAUAUAAGCUAAAAACUUGUUGACCUAAUUGUUACACAGACUUGUUUCUUUAUGUUAGAAUGUUGUUUCUGUUGUGCCAUAACUCAAGGUCAGAUUACAGAAAACAUCCCUUAACACACGUAUGAUAAGUGUUGUCCCUGAUUAGCCUGCACAGCAACAACACUAACAGUUUCAUUGGAAUUUCUUAUUUACAGGAAGUCUCUUCUACACCAAAAUUCAGUCUAAGUGAAAGUGUUGUCCAUGAUAAGUCCGUGCUGACAGCCAAGGGGAAUCUGGGACAACACUUGACCCAACCUCAAUUUUGUUAUUUGAGUUGAGUAUAACUCAAUUGUUGUGAUUGCUUGUGACCUGUGGAUUUUAUCAACAAUUUGUUGUCUUUGAACGUAAUUGUCACCUGUAUAACCAGAAUCCAAGGUAGUUUGUAUACUUCUAUUGAAGAAACAAAUACCUAUAUAAUUUGUUGUAUAUGUAGAACACAGAUAUGUGAAUUCCUAAGGUUUUGAGCUGUGCUCGAUCAUUCAGUGUCUACUGUAAUUUGUUAUUUGUGAAACUAUGCCAAUGUCUUUCCAAUUAAAUUCACAUUAAAGUCUGUUGCUGUAGUAUGACGGUCAUGCAGAGUGGUCUGAAAUUUUGCUAAAUCCUACCAUCCAGGGUCCAGUUAUAUCAAAGAUCUUAUGACUUUUGACUGAAUGCUUCUUCUCUAGUUAUAUUCUCAAUGUUGCUGUUGUGUAUUUUUAACUAGUGAAAUAUAUUUAAAUUGUUGUACAUUUGCUUAUUUUAACCAUAUGUAUUUAUAAAUUAUUCUUACAUUACAUCAUUAAGAACAUGGGCUUCUAGCUAUAUGACAUUUUUUUAACUAUCAGCUGUAACUAUUUCGAAGUGCUACAUAGAAACUAUGUUUUUGGAAGAAAUUAACAAAACAAUAAUAUUGGUUCUAUGAUCAUGAUGCCUCUCCGUUAAAACUUGUAGAAAUAUAUGAAAGUCAGACAUUCAUUUGGCUGUUUUAAAACCUGGAUAAAUCUUCUGAUGUCAUACAUGUAUUUGUAUUUGUUUUCAUUUCUUAUAUAAAGUGUGUCUAAAGGUUUGGUUGACGUUAAAGAUCGCACACUCUCUGUUAGUACUAAUAUACAGAUGCUUUAUUGGUGCUUCAAAACUGGGAUGAGAUUUUUAUGCCCCCCUUGUAGAAGAGGGGGUAUAUUGCUUUGCUCAUGUCGGUCUGUCGGUCGGUCCGUCCACCAGGUGGUUGUCAGACGAUAACUCAAGAACGCUUGGGCCUAGGAUCAUGAAACUUCAUAGGUACAUUGAUCAUGACUCGCAGAUGACCCCUAUUGAUUUUGAGGUCACUAGGUCAAAGGUCAAGGUCACGGUGACCCGAAAUAGUAAAAUGGUUUCCGGAUGAUAACUCAAGAACACAUAGGCCUAGGAUCAUGAAACUUCAUGGGUAGAUUGAUCAUGACUUGCAGAUGACCCCGAUUGAUUUUGAGGUCACUAGGUCAAAGGUCAAGGUCACGGUGACCCCAAAUAGUAAAAUGGUUUUCGGAUGAUAACUCAAGAACGCAUACGCCUAGGAUCAUGAAACUUCAUAGGAUUUUCAGGUCACUAGGUCAAAGGUCAAGGUCACAGUGACAAAAAUCGUAUUCACACAAUGGCUGCCACUACAACGGACAGCCCAUAUGGGGGGCAUGCAUGUUUUACAAACAGCCCUUGUUACCUAGGUAUUACCAAAAAUUACCUUUGUUUACAUUAUGAACAGUGGCAGCAAUGUUGGUGAUACAUUGUAAUAAAACUUAUUUUUGUGCAAUAUUACUUUCAAAGCAAAUUAUCAGAACAGUUCAGAUUAUACUUUUGAUGUUGAAUUUAUGCAAUCUUGAUGAAUGUGUCAGAAUGAUCCAAAAACUAGUUCAUCGGGUAAAACCUUAGGAAAAUCUUAUAACCAUUCUAGAAGCCACAUUUAUGACUCAGUCUUGAUGAAACUUUGUAAGACUUUUUAUCUUAACAUCCGUUUAGUAAAGUUAGAUCCUGGUCAAAUCUGGUAAAAAAGUUGUGUUUACUUAAGAAGCCACAUUUAUGUAAGAAUUUUUACUUGGACAGUAUCAAGGCAAUAUUUGAAUAUGGGUCAAGUUGGGAAUAAAAAUAAGGUCACUAGGUCAAGUCGCUGACAAUGGUGUAUGUUAAACUCUUGUUGGCCCCAGUGUCAUCUUUGUAGUUGUUAUGGUGCUGAUUAAUUUAAACAUCUUAGUUUUAUCUUAACAAAAAUUACUGAGUUCAAAUUUCUGUCAUGGUAUAAUCUUUUAAACUACAAAAUCCUUUUUGUUACUACACACAAGGUCAUAUAUGGUAUGCACUAAAAGAAGCAAGAAGGUUAUUCAAGAAUUCAAUGUUAGGUGUAAGUUUUUACCUAUGUUCUCUUACAAGUGAACUAUUUUUGUAUUUUGCUUUUGAGAGCAAUAAUGCAGUCCUUAAUCAGACAACUGUAUUCUAGACCUUAUUAUGUGUAUGUUCAUUUGCUUGUUUAACUAUUUGCGAUGACACAACAGUGUUUACUUUAAGGGAAACCUAAUGACUAUGUAUUGUAAAAGUAAUUCCAAUUUAGUAAAUCUCAUAUGUGACUAUCGCCAACUGUCAUGUGUAAAAAAUCUUGGGUUUAUUAAGUUAAAACUAUCCGAAAUACGACCGAGUCAUUUAUAAUGAAAAUGUCACAGUUUUUACUGAAAAACCUUUAAUAUACAAAAUUAAUGUAAUAUAAGAUACAUGCAUACUGCAGAAAUGAUGCUUGGAUUGGUUUGUAAGAUUUGUUUACAGAAAGUUUUCCAGGUGCUCUUCACUUCAAGUUAGGACACAAUUGAGCCAGCUUUUUCCAAAAUGUAUUUCUCAACUCUUAGCCAUUUUUGAAUGAUUCCAUCAUUCAUACUUUUGGUCAAAACCAUUUUUGAAUGAUUCCAUCAUUCAUACUUGUAGUCAAAGCCAUUUUUGAAUGAUUCCAUCAUUCAUAUUUUUGAAUGAUUCCAUCAUUCAUACUUGUGGUCAAAGCCAUUUUUGAAUGAUUCCAUCAUUCAUACUUGUGGUCAAAGCCAUUUUUGAAUGAUUCCAUCAUUCAUACUUGUGGUCAAAGCCAUUUUUGAAUGAUUCCAUCAUUCAUACUUGUGGUUAAAUCAUUCAUACUUGUGGUCAAAGCCAUUUUUGAAUGAUUCCAUCAUUCAUACUUGUGGUCAAAAAAGUUAAUGUUGAACCCUGCAAAAACAGACUUAAAAUACAGUUUUGUUUUAUGAUGUAUUAUGUGAUAAUGGAUAUUUAUAAUAACAACUGAUGAUCUCAUGUUAUCUAUGUUAGCACAUGGUUUGAAGAACAUCUAAAAUGAUAACACAUUCUGUCAUGAUACUCAGGUCUUCACAAUGUGUGAUUUUUUAAAAACACUUAUUUAAAAAAUGGUUAAAUGUUCUUGAUUUUUUUUAUAUAAUGUUCGAGAUGGUCUAAAUAUUUUGUUUAAUCGUUACAUUGUGUAUGUAUUGAAAAAGGAACAUUCAUUUUAUGUAUUUUGUUGUAACUUUAAAAUCUAGAAAAACUAUUUAAAAAACCUUUUACAUAUUAGAGUAAAAUUAGUUUUCUUUGUUGAGCAAAGAGCUUGUUGCUUUGUAAUACAUGUUGUAUUUCAGAUUUUGAAACAUUUUUCAAGUUAUCCUAUGUUUUUUUUCAAUAAGCAAGAAUAUGAUCAAAAGAAAUUGGUAUAUGGAAGAUCCCAGAAUUAUAUCUGUCUCACUUACAGGAAAAUAAUCAAUCAGUUUAUUUUUUACUAAAGAAAUGAUUAAUAUUUUUACACAAGUUAUAUUAUUGACAUAAGUUAAUUAGAACAGUUCAUCAUUUGCCAACUUUGUAAAAAAAUGAAGGUACUGAUUUUUUUUAUAGAUACAAUGUAGAUCCAGCAGCAAAACUUGUAUAUGCUAGUGCAGUUUGCACAUUAUGGAGGAAAAACAAGACAUAAUAAAUGUAUGGAUAAUUUGUUAUAAAAAGUAAUCUUUUAAUAUUUUAGCAAAUAGGUAUUAUUCUACUUAACAUCAACUUUAAUUAGAAUUCUCUGUGGUCUUAAAACAUAGAAGCAGAUAAGACUUUGUCAGCUUAGACUUCUUUUGAAAAGCUUACCAUAAUUAACAUGUACCAGCUUGUUCCACCAAAUGUUUUCUUGAAGAUAAAAAAUAAAUUAUUUGGAGUUA